UGAUCCUGGCUCAGGACGAACGCUGGCGGCGUGCAUAAUACAUGCAAGUCGAACGAACUCUGGUAUUGAUUGGUGCUUGCAUCAUGAUUUACAUUUGAGUGAGUGGCGAACUCGUGAGUAACACGUGGGAAACCUGCCCAGAAGCGGGGGAUAACACCUGGAAACAGAUGCUAAUACCGCAUAACAACUUGGACCGCAUGGUCCGAGUUUGAAAGAUGGCUUCGGCUAUCACUUUUGGAUGGUCCCGCGGCGUAUUAGCUAGAUGGUGGGGUAACGGCUCACCAUGGCAAUGAUACGUAGCCGACCUGAGAGGGUAAUCGGCCACAUUGGGACUGAGACACGGCCCCAACUCCUACGGGAGGCAGCAGUAGGAAUCUUCCACAAUGGACGAAAGUCUGAUGGAGCAUACGCCGCGUGCGUGAAGAAGGGUUUCUGCUCUCACAGUCUGUUGUCCGUAGAAAAUCUUUUUUCCCUU
rnacentral:rRNA from 2 species